GAUGAAGAACGUAGCGAAAUGCGAUACGUACUGUGAAUUGCAGAAUUCAGUGAAUCAUCGAAUCUUUGAACGCAUCUUGCGCUCCUUGGUAUUCUGAGGAGCAUGCCUGUUUGAGUGUCAUUAAAUUCUCAACUACACUGACUUUGAAUUGGUGUGGCUUGGAUUUGGGGGGAAAAUUGUUGUGGGCUUUUUGUAUAGUCUGCUCCCCUGAAAUUGAUUAGCGGUACCUUUGUGGAACUGUCUACAGGUGUGAUAAUUAUCUACAUCUUAGACAUCUGCUGGAAUGCUGCUUUCUAAACCUUACUUGUAUUGACAAUCUUGACCUCAAAUCAGGUAGGACUACCCGCUGAACUUAAGCAUAUCAAUAAGCGGAGGA
rnacentral:misc_RNA from 1 species